AAAAGCGGAGGAAAAGAAACCAACAGGGAUUGCCCCAGUAACGGCGAGUGAAGCGGCAACAGCUCAAAUUUGAAAUCUGGCUCUCGGGCCCGAGUUGUAAUUUGUAGAGGAUGCUUUUGGUGAGGUGCCUUCCGAGUUCCCUGGAACGGGACGCCAUAGAGGGUGAGAGCCCCGUCUGGUUGGACACCGAUCCUCUGUAAAGCUCCUUCGACGAGUCGAGUAGUUUGGGAAUGCUGCUCUAAAUGGGAGGUAUAUGUCUUCUAAAGCUAAAUACCGGCCAGAGACCGAUAGCGCACAAGUAGAGUGAUCGAAAGAUGAAAAGAACUUUGAAAAGAGAGUUAAACAGUACGUGAAAUUGUUGAAAGGGAAGCGCUUGUGACCAGACUUGGGCUUGGUUGAUCAUCCGGGGUUCUCCCCGGUGCACUCUUCCGGCUCAGGCCAGCAUCAGUUCGCCCUGGGGGAUAAAGGCUUCGGGAAUGUGGCUCUCUCCGGGGAGUGUUAUAGCCCGCUGCGUAAUACCCUGUGGCGGACUGAGGUUCGCGCAUUCGCAAGGAUGCUGGCGUAAUGGUCAUCAGUGACCCGUCUUGAA
rnacentral:rRNA from 1 species